UGUUUCCUCUGUCCUGUGUGGAUCAUUGUUUGUCUCUCCUGUGUUCUGUGUGUUUCUGUGUUUCUGUGUUUCCUUUAGGAUUUAGUUUUUGGACAUUUGAUCUGUGAUACGUCUCUCGUCGUGACUUGUCUCAGGUGUGAGUCAGGGCCGUCGCUGCUUCAGAAACUGUGUGAGGCUGAAAUCUUCACACUGGGCCUUGUGGUGGAGGUGUGAGGCCCUCAGUGGGACACUGCUGCAGGCCUGGCCUUGUGUUUUGGGACCAGGUCUGUCAGUGUGAAACAACAAUAAACAAGUUAGCAAGAAGCUAACAGGGUGUAAGAUGAACGGAGCUGCUGUUCGCUGUAAACAGAUGAUUAGGUGCUGCCCUUUGAUUCCAAGUCUUUGACUAAAUCCAUCCUGAUCAUCCUGACAGCCGCUCUCUGUCGCUCUGAAGCAGUUGGCUGAUAAUGAGCCUCUUAUUUUCUCCUUUUUUUUUUUUUUCUCCCCUCCUUCACAUUAUGCUGUUUAUGAAACCACCCCCUCCCCCUCAUCCUCUGAGUCUAAAUCCCGAGUAAGCAGAGAGGGUUUGCAGACUUCACAUGUGUCUGCCCAUUUUCAGGUCAUGCAGUCUUUAUUGCAUUCACCCAAACAGUCUAAUAAAAUUAUCUGCCUUCA